rnacentral:rRNA from 1 species
UCCGAAGGGGGCUAUCGUUGUUCGGAAUUACUGGGCGUAAAGCGCACGCAGGCGGAUUUAUAAGUCAGGGGUGAAAUCCCGGGGCUCAACCUCGGAAUUGCCCUUGAUACUGUCUAUCUUGAGUCCGGGAGAGGUGAGUGGAAUUCCUAGUGUAGAGGUGAAAUUCGUAGAUAUUAGGAAGAACACCAGUGGCGAAGGCGGCUCACUGGCCCGGUACUGACGCUCAUGUGCGAAAGCGUGGGGAGCAAACAGG